rnacentral:rRNA from 1 species
AUUGAACGCUGGCGGCAUGCCUUACACAUGCAAGUCGAACGGCAGCACGGGUGCUUGCACCUGGUGGCGAGUGGCGAACGGGUGAGUAAUACACCGGAACAUGUCCUGUAGUGGGGGAUAGCCCGGCGAAAGCCGGAUUAAUACCGCAUACGAUCCACGGAUGAAAGCGGGGGACCUUCGGGCCUCGCGCUAUAGGGUUGGCCGAUGGCUGAUUAGCUAGUUGGUGGGGUAAAGGCCUACCAAGGCGACGAUCAGUAGCUGGUCUGAGAGGACGACCAGCCACACUGGGACUGAGACACGGCCCAGACUCCUACGGGAGGCAGCAGUGGGGAAUUUUGGACAAUGGGCGAAAGCCUGAUCCAGCAAUGCCGCGUGUGUGAAGAAGGCCUUCGGGUUGUAAAGCACUUUUGUCCGGAAAGAAAUCCUUGGCUCUAAUACAGUCGGGGGAUGACGGUACCGGAAGAAUAAGCACCGGCUAACUACGUG